CCUACGGGUGGCAGCAGUGGGGAAUAUUGGGCAAUGGGCGCAAGCCUGACCCAGCAACGCCGCGUGAAGGAAGAAGGCUUUCGGGUUGUAAACUUCUUUUCUCAGGGACGAAGCAAGUGACGGUACCUGAGGAAUAAGCCACGGCUCACUACGUGCCAGCAGCCGCGGGAAUACGUAGGUGGCAAGCGUUCUCCGGAUUUACUGGGUGUAAAGGGCGUGUGGGCGGGACUGAAAGUCAGAUGUUAAAACCAUGGGCUCAACCUAUGGCCUGCAUUUGAAACUGUAGUUCUUGAGUACUGGAGAGGCAGACGGAAUUCCUAGUGUAGCGGUGAAAUGCGUAGAUAUUAGGAGGAACACCAGUGGCGAAGGCGGUCUGCUGGACAGCAACUGACGCUGAGGCGCGAAAGCGUGGGGAGCAAACAGGAUUAGAUACCCGGGUAGUC
rnacentral:rRNA from 1 species